rnacentral:rRNA from 1 species
AUUGAACGCUGGCGGCAGGCCUAACACAUGCAAGUCGAACGAGUGGCGGACGGGUGAGUAAUGUCUGGGAAACUGCCUGAUGGAGGGGGAUAACUACUGGAAACGGUGGCUAAUACCGCAUACCAUCGGAUGUGCCCAGAUGGGAUUAGCUAGUAGGUGGGGUAAAGGCUCACCUAGGCGACGAUCCCUAGCUGGUCUGAGAGGAUGACCAGCCACACUGGGACUGAGACACGGCCCAGACUCCUACGGGAGGCAGCAGUGGGGAAUAUUGCACAAUGGGCGCAAGCCUGAUGCAGCCAUGCCGCGUGUGUGAAGAAGGCCUUCGGGUUGUAAAGCACUUUCAGCGGGGAGGCGUUACCCGCAGAAGAAGCACCGGCUAACUCCGUGCCAGCAGCCGCGGUAAUAC